rnacentral:rRNA from 1 species
UACGUAGGGCGCAAGCGUUGUCCGGAAUUAUUGGGCGUAAAGAGCUCGUAGGCGGCUUGUCACGUCGGAUGUGAAAGCCCGGGGCUUAACCUCGGGUCUGCAUUCGAUACGGGCUAGCUAGAGUGUGGUAGGGGAGAUCGGAAUUCCUGGUGUAGCGGUGAAAUGCGCAGAUAUCAGGAGGAACACCGGUGGCGAAGGCGGAUCUCUGGGCCAUUACUGACGCUGAGGAGCGAAAGCGUGGGGAGCGAACAGG